CAAUAGCGUAUAUUAAAGUUGUUGCGGUCAAAAAGCUCGUAGUUGGAGUUCUGCCAGGUGACGCUCGUCCGCCCAAGUGGUGUGUACAGGGCGUGCAUCUGGCCCUUUCAAGGGGAACGUGUCUGCACUUUACUGUGUGGUGCGAGAUCCUUGACUUUUACUUUGAGGAAAUCAGAGUGUUCCAAGCAGGCUCUCGUCGUGUAUAGCUCAGCAUGGAAUAAUAGCAUUGGACUUCGUUUCUAAGCUGUUGGUUGCAAGAAGCGAGGUAAUGAUGAAGAGGGAUAGUUGGGGGCAUUCGUAUUUAACUGUCAGAGGUGAAUUUCUUGGAUUUGUUAAAGACGGACUACUGCGAAAGCAUCUGCCAUGGAUGUUUUCAUUGA
rnacentral:rRNA from 1 species